rnacentral:rRNA from 1 species
CCCAGUAAACGGCGGCCGUAACUAUAACGGUCCUAAGGUAGCGAAAUUCCUUGUCAGGUAAGUUCUGACCCGCAUGAAAGGCGUAAUGAUUUGGGCACUGUCUCAACAGCCCGCCCGGCGAAAUUGUAGUACCGGUGAAGAUGCCGGUUACCCGCGACAAGACGGAAAGACCCCAUGGAGCUUUACUGUAGCCUAAUAUUGGGUUUCGAUGUUGCAUGCACAGGAUAGAUGGGACACAGGGAAACAGGAGCUUUGGCUUCUGCGGAGUGGCCGUUGGGAUACCAUCCUUGCGAUAUUGGAAUUCUAACCUGCGGCUCUGAAUCGAGUCGGGGGACAUUGUUAGGUGGGCAGUUUGACUGGGGCGGUCGCCUCCUAAAAAGUAACGGAGGCGUUCAAAGGUUCGCUCAGCUUGAACGGAAAUCAAGCAAAAGAGUGCAAACGCAGAAGCGAGCCUAACUGCGAGACUGACGGGUCGAGCAGUAACGAAAGUUGGAGUUAGUGAUCCGGUGGUAUGUGAGUGGAAAUGCCAUCGCUCAACGGAUAAAAGUUACCCUGGGGAUAACAGGCUGAUCUCCCCCAAGAGUCCACAUCGACGGGGAGGUUUGGCACCUCGAUGUCGGCUCAUCGCAUCCUGGGGCUGUAUUCGGUCCCAAGGGUUUGGCUGUUCGCCAAUUAAAGCGGUACGCGAGCUGGGUUCAGAACGUCGUGAGACAGUUCGGUCCCUAUCUGUCGUGGGCGCAGGAUAUUUGAUGGGAGCUGUCCCUAGUACGAGAGGACCGGGACGGACGUACCUCUGGCGCACCAGUUGUUCCGCCAGGAGCAUAGCUGGGCAACUACGUACGGAUCGGAUAAACGCUGAAAGCAUCUAAGCGUGAAGCCGACCCAAAGAUAAGAUAUCCCAUUGUUUUAAACAAGUAAGACCCCUUGAAGACUACAAGGUUGAUAGGCACGAUGUGUAAGUGGAGCGAUCCAUUCAGCAAGCGUGUACUAAUAGGUCGAGGGCUUGACCAC